rnacentral:rRNA from 1 species
UACGUAGGUGGCAAGCGUUGUCCGGAUUUAUUGGGUUUAAAGGGUGCGUAGGCGGCCUUAUAAGUCAGUGCUGAAAUAUCCCGGCUUAACCGGGAGGGUGGCAUUGAUACUGUAGGGCUUGAGUGUAGUCGAGGUAGGCGGAAUUGACGGUGUAGCGGUGAAAUGCGUAGAUAUCUGGAGGAAUACCGGUGGCGAAGGCGGCAUCCUGGACCGACAUUGACGCUGAACGGCGAAAGCUAGGGGAGCAAACGGG